GUCGAGCGAUGAAGCACCUUCGGGUGUGAAUUAGCGGCGAACGGGUGAGGAACACGUGAAGAAUCUGCCUUCAACUCUGGGAUAACUCCGGGAAACCGGGGCUAAUACCGGAUAUGAGCCCUGAUCGCAUGAUCGGGGCUGGAAAGUUUUUCGGUUGAAGAUGACUUCGCGGCCUAUCAGCUUGUUGGUGAGGUAAUGGCUCACCAAGGCGACGACGGGUAGCCGGCCUGAGAGGGCGACCGGCCACACUGGGACUGAGACACGGCCCAGACUCCUACGGGAGGCAGCAGUGGGGAAUAUUGGGCAAUGGAGGAAACUCUGACCCAGCGACGCCGCGUGAGGGAUGAAGGCCUUCGGGUUGUAAACCUCUUUCAGUAGGGAAGAAGCGAAAGUGACGGUACCUACAGAAGAAGCACCGGCUAACUAUGUGCCAGCAGCCGCGGUAAUACAUAGGGUGCAAGCGUUGUCCGGAAUUAUUGGGCGUAAAGAGCUCGUAGGUGGUUCGAUACGUCGGAUGUGAAAAUCAGGGGCUCAACCCCUGACCUGCAUCCGAUACGGUCGAGCUAGAGUUUGGUAGGGGAGACUGGAAUUCCUGGUGUAGCGGUGGAAUGCGCAGAUAUCAGGAGGAACACCGAUGGCGAAGGCAGGUCUCUGGGCCAAUACUGACACUGAGGAGCGAAAGCGUGGGGAGCGAACAGGAUUAGAUACCCUGGUAGUCCACGCCGUAAACGGUGGGCGCUAGUUGUGCGAACCUUCCACGGUUUGUGCGACGCAGCUAACGCAUUAAGCGCCCCGCCUGGGGAGUACGAUCGCAAGAUUAAAACUCAAAUGAAUUGACGG
rnacentral:rRNA from 1 species